rnacentral:ribozyme from 1 species
UGCCCAGCAACUCCUAUCCCUACCUCCUCGUGGUACUGGCCGGUGUACAAGUAAUCUUGGGGAAGAUCGGGUAACCAACCCCAGUGGGAGCUUUGGUAGUAUGCUGACAGGAAAGG